UACGUAGGGUCCGAGCGUUGUCCGGAAUUAUUGGGCGUAAAGGGCUCGUAGGCGGUUUGUCGCGUCGGGAGUGAAAACCAGGUGCUUAACACCUGGCUUGCUUUCGAUACGGGCAGACUAGAGGUAUGCAGGGGAGAACGGAAUUCCUGGUGUAGCGGUGAAAUGCGCAGAUAUCAGGAGGAACACCGGUGGCGAAGGCGGUUCUCUGGGCAUGACCUGACGCUGAGGCACGAAAGCGUGGGGAGCAAACAGG
rnacentral:rRNA from 1 species